rnacentral:rRNA from 1 species
GACGAACGCUGGCGGCGUGCUUAACACAUGCAAGUCGAACGGUAAGGCCCUUCGGGGUACACGAGUGGCGAACGGGUGAGUAAUACGUGGGUGAUCUGCCCUGCACUUCGGGAUAAGCCUGGGAAACUGGGUCUAAUACCGGAUAGGACCACUGCCUGCAUGGGUGGUGGUGGAAAGCUUUUGCGGUGUGGGAUGGGCCCGCGGCCUAUCAGCUUAUUGGUGGGGUGAUGGCCUACCAAGGCGACGACGGGUAGCCGGCCUGAGAGGGUGACCGGCCACACUGGGACUGAGAUACGGCCCAGACUCCUACGGGAGGCAGCAGUGGGGAAUAUUGCACAAUGGGCGCAAGCCUGAUGCAGCGACGCCGCGUGAGGGAUGACGGCCUUCGGGUUGUAAACCUCUUUCAGCACCGACGAAGCGCAAGUGACGGUAGGUGCAGAAGAAGGACCGGCCAACUACGUGCCAGCAGCCGCAGUAA